AGGAAUGCCACUUUCAGAAGUCUACCACAGU
rnacentral:piRNA from 1 species